AGUGAACGCUGGCGGUAGGCCUAACACAUGCAAGUCGAACGGCAGCACAGUAAGAGCUUGCUCUUACGGGUGGCGAGUGGCGGACGGGUGAGGAAUACAUCGGACUCUACUUUUUCGUGGGGGAUCACGUAGGUAAACUUACGCUAAUACCGCAUACGACCUACGGGUGAAAGCAUGGGAUCUUCGGACCUUGCGCGAUUGAAUGAGCCGAUGUCGGAUUAGCUAGUUGGCGGGGUAAAGGCCCACCAAGGCGACGAUCCGUAGCUGGUCUGAGAGGAUGAUCAGCGACACUGGAACUGAGACACGGUCCAGACUCCUACGGGAGGCAGCAGUGGGGAAUAUUGGACAAUGGGCGCAAGCAUGAUCCAGCCAUACCGCGUGGGUGAAGAAGGCCUUCGGGUUGUAAAGCCCUUUUGUUGGGAAAGAAAAGCAGCAGGUUAAUACCACGCUGUUCUGACGGUACCCAAAGAAUAAGCACCGGCUAACUUCGUG
rnacentral:rRNA from 1 species